rnacentral:rRNA from 1 species
GUGUCAGCCGCCGCGGUAAUACAGAGGUCCCAAGCGUUGUUCGGAUUCACUGGGCGUAAAGGGUGCGUAGGCGGCCGGGUAAGUCUGAUGUGAAAUCCCGCAGCUUAACUGCGGAACUGCAUCGGAUACUCUCCGGCUAGAGGAAUGGAGGGGAGACUGGAAUUCUCGGUGUAGCAGUGAAAUGCGUAGAUAUCGAGAGGAACACCAGUGGCGAAGGCGAGUCUCUGGACAUUUCCUAACGCUGAGGCACGAAAGCCAGGGGAGCAAACGGGAUUAGAUACCCUGGUAGUCC